ACAAAGAGAGUCAAAAUGGCGGUUGAAGUAAUGGAUGACUUCGAACUCGAAAAGUUAAGAGCUGAAAUUCAGCAAGAAAAACAAAUGAAAGAAAUGCUAGAACAGUCUGCAGCUGAAUUACGUGCUACUGUGGAGGAACUAGAGAAACGAUACGACACCAUUGAUAAUGAAGGGAAUGAAUGGAAGACGAGGUACGAGACCCAGACAGAAAUAAACGAGCAGUUAGAGCGGCAGAUCCUAAUGUUACAGAACAAAGUACAGGAGGCGAAAGCCAACCUCAAAGAUGCCGGAAAGACUCCUAGAGACUUAAAGAACUUCGAUGACCUUUCUGAUGUAUGUAUUUAUGAGUUCUUGAAAAAUAUUGCAAAUGUGUCUUAUUUUUCAAUUUAAAUGAUUUUAUUUAAAAAAAAAAAGAAUAUAAUAAAGUAUUUGAAUUGUUGAAAUUACCAGUAGUAAUUUCUUGAACCUAAGUAAAAUGUAGGUUGUUUGAGUUUUUAUGCCAGUAAGUUAUGUGUAAGUUGUUGAAGUUUUUGACUUAGUGUUAGUAAAGAGUAAGUUGUUGAGUUUUUUGACGCAAUGCAAGGCCAAUCCACACAUGAUACGAAUGCUGGAGAAAGAGAAAAACGUUCUGAUGAACCAGAUGAGGGACAUGGAAUGGCGCCUGGACCAGGAAUCCAAGGUAACCAAUCAAAACCAAAUGUUUAAACCACCAACGUUAAAAGCACUGCACAUUCAUAUUAUAGGCAAAUAAGUAUAUGAUUCGGUCGCUUGAAAAAGAAAAGCAAAUGCUUCAAGGACAAAUGAGAGACAUUGAAUGGAGACUCGACCAAGAGUCCAAGGUGAGAUGCAUGGGCUGCUCCGGUCCGAUUUGGAACCUUUGCUUUCAUCUUGGAUCGGAGCAGUGUGUAACGCUAGGAAGUCUGUUUCCAUGUUAACGCAGGAUUUGAUGCCAGUAAAAAAUGAACUGCUUUGUCACUAGUUGUGAUUUGAACAGUGCUAAAGUGUGUCCUUGUUGAAAUUGAAACAGGCGUUCCAUGUCUACUGCACGUGCUUUGCAUGCAUUUGUUUGUUUACCUUGUUUCGUCUUUACGUUUUGGCCCGAUGACGUUUCCUACUCAUUUCCGUGUUCUAGGGCUAAUUCAACCUAAUCACAUUGAGACUAAAAACUAUGACUGUGUUUCUCUCUGUCCUGUUUCAUUGUUAUAUGCAUGAUGUAAAUCUUUUACCUUAAAUAUAUACAAGAGAUUAUAUUUAUCUAUGCAUGAUUACUAUUUGCUACAAGAAUAAUUGUGGACAAACUCUAUUACUAUCACAUAUAACAUGCAUGAGUACUUUACAAAAAUAUGCAUACUUUUAGUUUAUAUAUACUUCAUUACCGAUACUGUAGCAUAGCUAGGCUAAAAAGUGCAUGUAUUAUGUACGUUAGUAGAUUUUUUGUAUAGAAAGGUAUGGUAAUUAAUUGCUUGACCAGAAAACAAAAUACAGUAUCUAUGAUGGUAGUACUUUGGACUACAGAAUGUUAGUGGUUUCUGUUUGCAAAUCAUGCUCCGUCAUAUCUCUUUGUGAACUGUGUUCAAUGUUUUUGUUUCUGUUGCUAAUUUAACAUAACCUUGGUUUUUAAAAUGUUUGAAAUUCUCUGUGUUCUGUGAUAUAACACAGAACACACUGCAGUGGAGAAUAAUAAUUCACUUCACUACACUGUGGCCUGUUUGCUUUGUUGUUUAUUUUGUGAAGAAUUAUCUGAGUGUGAAAUUAAUUCUUUCCUUUAUUUGUUUUAACUCCUAUAUAAAAAAUGAAUGAAUGAUUAAACACAAAUGAUAAAUACAUGCUGUCCACGCAAUUGAAAAUUCAGUCUACCGUACAAUACAAUUUUUACCAAUGUAAACUUUUUAAUUUGGUUGUGCAUCUAGGCCUACCACAAGGCUAACGAUGAAAGGAAGACCUAUUCCCUCGAGAUCAACUCCACCAAAGGCUCCAUCAAUGACUUCUCAACACGCACCAAGCUCUCCUCAAGCAGGGACGCCCUGGACACUAUUCCGGGAUCUCGAACUCCUAGGAGUAUGGGCAAUAUUCCAGAAGACCAGAGAAUACUGGAUCCAAAACAUGGACCAAUCAAAAAGGCCGCAGCAGUCAAGAGUCUGCCCAGUUUAGAAACCACGUGAUUUCGUGUAGAUUAGGGGAAAGGCAAUAUUUUAUUGUUUUGCACCAACACACUGACCGGAUAACCACAUGUAGGACCUUUUAUAUGACCUCUAUGUACCCUGUAUGUCUGUAAUCAUGUCAAACGGAAUUAUUCAUAUUGCAAUAAUUAAGACAAUUUUCAAUUUUCAGCAUCUUCAUGUUUCAACUCGUUUUGUUGAAUAAUUUAUGUAUUUCAUAUAUACUGUACUUUUGUCUGAUAUUUUUUAUAAAUAUAGAUAGUCUUUUUAAAAUACGAAGUUUUACAUUAUUACUUAUCAUUGCAACAAAUUUGAACUUGUGAUUUUUUAAUGUCUUUAAACUUGAUAGAAAUACCAAAAAAAAUACAAGGUAAAAUAUGUCCUUUAAAAUAAAAACCGUAUUAUUCAUUAUAGCAAUAAUGUAAAUAUAUCUGGUUGAUUUAUAUUUUAUCUUCGAAGAUACGUGACUGUAAAUAAGUAUCUUUUAUUUGACACAACACUAUUUGCACAAUGGCAAGGGAAUAUUUAUUUUCUGUGAUAAAUUGAAGUUUUCACUCAUUUUCAGUAUUUUACAUAUGUAUCAGAUGAAAGUGCUGAUGAAAUAUUGCAAAACCGUCCAUGAUUUAUUUGUAAUGUUUCUAAGAAAAUGGAAUUAGAUGUUAUAUAAUUUACAAAUAUAUAUCAUAAAAAUGAUUUAUAAGUGUUGUUAAUAAAGUAAGAAAUAU
rnacentral:misc_RNA from 1 species